GCCAUGCAAGUCUCAGUACAGGUCGCUUACGGCCGAAACCGCGGAUGGCUCAUUAUAUCAGUUUUAAUCCGUAUGAUUUAUCACAAUUGGAUACCUGUGGCAAUUCUAGAGCUAAUACAUUAUUACAAUAAUUUUACACUCUAACCUUUCCGGUCAGAGUCUGUAAAAGCAAUCGUCACGACCAUAAACCGAUCAUUAAAAGGAAUUCUCCUUUGGUGCUAUGGUGAUUCAGGAUGAGCGUUGCAGAGCGCAAAGGUCAUUGAACCGCCGCUAUAUUAUGCGAGUUUCUGCCCUAUCAACUUUACUGUAAGGUAUUGGCCUACAGUGGUGUUCACGGGUAACGGGGAAUCUGGGUUCGAUUCCGGAGAGGGAGCCUGAUAAACGGCUACCACAUCCAAGGAAGGCAGCAGGCGCGGAAAUUAACCUAAUACUAGCUCUGUGAGUUAGUGACGAAAAAUAUUGAUGUGUGUCUCCUAAUGGAGCCUCACGAUCGAAAUGAGUUUAUCUUAAAUCCUUACUGCAAGGAGCUAUCGGAGGGCAAGCCUGGUGCCAGCAGCCGCGGUAAUUCCAGCUCCUUUAGCGUAAUUUAAUAUUGCUGCGGUUAAAGUGCUCGUCGUUGGAUUUCUUUAAACGGCGCUGGGCACCCGUGUCUUGAUUUCGAGCUUUUUUCCCAUAAAGUCUUGACGCUGUAAUUAUCCCUUCCCUCUUCGAGGCAGGGUUUUUCUAGUUUUGAAUAACGGAAAGCUCGCACCUUGAAUGGGUGUCUAGCCAGAAUAUUUGAGUAUCUAGCAGUAGCGUAAAGCUAUCUAUGCUAGAAACGAAGUUGGUACACUAAAUGCUCUUUGUUGUGUGUUUAGUGGUGCCGACACUUUUCACUUUAAUAAAAUUGGAGUGUUCAUAGCAGGUGUUAAUAUUUUCGAGUCGCCUGACUAAAGACGUCUGGAAUGAAGGAAUAAGACCUCUGUUCGGAUAUUUCUGAUCGAUUUUUUUGUUCGAAGCUGAGGUAAUGAUUAACAGGGACUGCCGGGGGCAUUAGUAUUGCAGCGCGAGAGGUGAAAUUCUAUGACCGUUGCAAGACUACCUACUGCGAAAGCAUUUGCCAAGAAUGUUUUUAUUAAUCAUGAACUAAAGUUAGAGGAUCGAAGGCGAUCAGAUACCGCCCUAGUUCUAACCCUAAACAAUGCUAACCAGCAAUCCGCUCGUGUCACUGGGGACUGAGCGGGAUCCCCCGGGAAACCAGAGUCUUUGAGUUCCGGGGGGAGUAUGGUUGCAAAACUGAAACUUAAAGGAAUUGACGGAAGGGCACCACCAGAAGUGGAGCCUGCGGCUUAAUUUGACUCAACACGGGGAAACUCACCAGGUCCGGACCCCGGAAGGAUUGACAGAUUAAAGUUCUUUCUCGAUUCGGAGGAAGGUGGUGCAUGGCCGUUCUUAGUUGGUGGAGUGAUUUGUCUGGUUGAUUCCGAUAACGAACGAGAUUCUUUCCUCCUAAUUUGUCGUCGGAUCGAAACCUGAAGCGGGAACAGAUUCCUCCUUUUUAGUGCGCGGUAACGUUCGCAAUUCGAUGAAAAUUAAGAAUUUUCGUGCAGUCUCUGCUCUAUAUAGUUUUCAUCGGUUCGAGCUUAUCGUUCCUAUUAUUGGAAAACCCGUCAAAGGUUGUCCGUCGAAUUAAAAUAUUUCUUCAUCUUAGCGGUAUCGGCGGUGUCCAGCCGCACUAAAAAGAGCAAUAACAGGUCUGUGAUGCCCUUAGAUGUUCUGGGCUGCACGCGCGCGACAAUGAAGGGAGCAGCGUGUUGUCCCAUUCCGAAAGGAAAUGGCAAUCAUUUGAAACCCCUUCUCGAUUGGGAUUGGGGAUUGUAAGUUUUUCUCAUAAACGAGGAAUUCCUUGUACGCGUAGGUCGUCAGC
rnacentral:rRNA from 1 species